GCCUCCGUAGCUCAAUGGAUCGAGCAUCCGCCUUCUAAGCGGGCGAUACAGGUUCGAUUCCUGUCGGGGGCA
rnacentral:tRNA from 1 species